CCUACGGGUGGCUGCAGCAAGGAAUUUUCGUCAAUGGGGGCAACCCUGAACGAGCAACGCCGCGUGGAGGAUGACGGCCUUCGGGUUGUAAACUCCUUUUCCGAGGGACGAUUGUGACGGUACCUCGGGAAUCAGGCUCGGCUAACUCUGUGCCAGCAGCCGCGGUAAGACAGAGGAGCCAAGCGUUGUCCGGAUUGACUGGGCGUAAAGGGUCCGCAGGCGGCUGAGCACGUGGGGUGUGAAAGCGGGCGGCUUAACUGCCCGAGGCCACCUCA
rnacentral:rRNA from 1 species